CCCUACAAAGUCAGUGUUGAUGAAUUUGGGAAAUAAACUAAGCAUCAACAAAUUUUUGCAGCGGAGUAGAUGAAGAAGAAAUAGUUGUUGAAUUAUAUUUUUAACUCUAAACAGAUAGUGUUGAUUAACUUGUGAAUACUUUAAAGAGUUGUUGGAAGUAGCGAAAGAAGAAGGAAAGUGUUAGAUUAUAUUAAUAGCUCUGCACGUUUUUGCCGAGAGAAAGAAGGAGGGCAGUGUUAGAUUAUAUUGUAAACACGACAAACAGCGAGUUUCUCAACAAUUGAACCAACAAUUGUUACUCAUCACGAUUUGCUAACUGAGAGCUUCUUGAGUGGAAUUUCGAAAAAACAAACGGAAUAAACAGAAGAAGAAAGCUCAACAAAAGGAAAGAGAACCAAAAUGUAUGCCUAGAAAUCAAAAUUAAAUCAAGCACAAUAUUUAUAAUAAAUGCAGCAAUGCUAAAAGCAAGCAAAUAUUUGCUUAAAUUCAGUUAAUUCAAAUAACAACAGGAAAUAAGAUUUUUAAUUUAAAAUAGCUCGCAUCCAGUUUAAUGCUAUUCAUACUUAAAUCAAUAAACUUUUUCAUUAAUUCAACAUGAGUGCAAA